rnacentral:rRNA from 1 species
AACGAACGCUGGCGGCAUGCCUAACACAUGCAAGUCGAACGAGACCUUCGGGUCUAGUGGCGCACGGGUGCGUAACGCGUGGGAACCUGCCCUUAGGUUCGGAAUAACUCCCCGAAAGGGGUGCUAAUACCGGAUAAUGUCUUCGGACCAAAGAUUUAUCGCCUUUGGAUGGGCCCGCGUUGGCUUAGCUAGUUGGUAGGGUAAAAGCCUACCAAGGCGACGAUCCAUAGCUGGUCUGAGAGGAUGAUCAGCCACACUGGGACUGAGACACGGCCCAGACUCCUACGGGAAGCAGCAGUGGGGAAUAUUGGACAAUGGGCGAAAGCCUGAUCCAGCAAUGCCGCGUGAGUGAUGAAGGCCUUAGGGUUGUAAAGCUCUUUUACCCGGGAUGAUAAUGACAGUACCGGGAGAAUAAGCUCCGGCUAACUCCGUG